GAUGAACUCGGGAUGGCCGGGCAGUGAUAGUUGUUCCUUUCCAUCACUCGUUGUGUUGACUUCAUCAUGUCCAUUUUGUGAUGUUUUUUCACUAUAUAAUCAUAUUGCAAGUGCACGUGCAUUUGCAAUAUGUUUCAAUGUGCAUUUACCAUAUGAAAUUUGACCUUGCUCAAAAAUGCAAAAUUGACUGGUCUGAUGAACACAGGAUGGCCGAGCAGUGAUAGUUGUACAUUUCCAUCACUCGUUGUGUUGAUUUCAUCAUCUCCGUUAGGUGAUGUUUUUACACUAUAGAAUCAUAUUGCAAAUGCACGUGCAUUGUUGUGCAACUGGUAACCCAAAAAUAAAAAUAUGGUUGUAAAUGCAUUUACCGGUCAUUCUGAUAUUAAUGCUCGCUAUGGGAACACAGGAUGGCCGGGCAGUGAUAGUUGUACAUUUCCAUCACUCGUUGUGUUGAUUUCAUCAUGUCCAUUAGGUGAUGUUUUUACACUAUAGAAUCAUAUUGCAAGUGCGCGCGCAUUUGCAAUAUGUUUCAAUGUGCAUUUACCAUAUGAAAUUUGACAUGCUCAAAAAUGCAAAAUUGACUGGUCUGAUGGACACAGGAUGGCCGAGCAGUGAUAGUUGUACAUUUCCAUCACUCGUUGUGUUGAUUUCAUCAUGUCCAUUAGGUGAUGUUUUUUCACUAUAGAAUCAUAUUGCAAGUGCGCGCGCAUUUGCAAUAUGUUUCAAUGUGCAUUUACCAUAUGAAAUUUGACAUGCUCAAAAAUGCAAAAUUGACUGGUCUGAUGAACACAGGAUGGCUGAGCAGUGAUAGUUGUACAUUUCCAUCACCUGUUGUGUUGAUUUCAUCAUGUCCAUUUGUUUAUGUUUUCUCACUUUUGCAAAGUCACUGUGCAUUUGCAAUAUGGUUCAAUGGGCAGGUACCAUCACGAAUUUGUCAUGCUAUAAAAAUCCUGCAGGAAUGUGAAAUUGACUGGUCUGAUGAACACAGGAUGGCCGAGCAGUGAUAGUUGUACAUUUCCAUCACUUGUUGUGUUGAUUUCAUCAUGUCCAUUAGGUGAUGUUUUUUCACUAUAGAAUCAUAUUGCAAAUGCACGUGCAUUGUUGUGCAACUGGUAACCCAAAAAUAAAAAUAUGGUUGUAAAUGCAUUUACCGGUCAUUCUGAUAUUAAUGCUCGCUAUGGGAACACAGGAUGGCCGGGCAGUGAUAGUUGUACAUUUCCAUCACUCGUUGUGUUGAUUUCAUCAUGUCCAUUAGGUGAUGUUUUUACACUAUAGAAUCAUAUUGCAAGUGCGCGCGCAUUUGCAAUAUGUUUCAAUGUGCAUUUACCAUAUGAAAUUUGACAUGCUCAAAAAUGCAAAAUUGACUGGUCUGAUGGACACAGGAUGGCCGAGCAGUGAUAGUUGUACAUUUCCAUCACUCGUUGUGUUGAUUUCAUCAUGUCCAUUAGGUGAUGUUUUUUCACUAUAGAAUCAUAUUGCAAAUGCACGUGCAUUGUUGUGCAACUGGUAACCCAAAAAUAAAAAUAUGGUUGUAAAUGCA